rnacentral:rRNA from 1 species
AACGAACGCUGGCGGCAGGCUUAACACAUGCAAGUCGAACGGUUGUAGCAAUACAGCAGUGGCGCACGGGUGAGUAACGCGUGGGAACGUACCUUUUAGUUCGGAAUAACCAUUGGAAACGAUGGCUAAUACUGGAUACGCCCUUCGGGGGAAAGAUUUAUCGCUAAAAGAUCGGCCCGCGUAAGAUUAGGUAGUUGGUGGGGUAAUGGCCUACCAAGCCUACGAUCUUUAGCUGGUCUGAGAGGAUGAUCAGCCACACUGGAACUGAGACACGGUCCAGACUCCUACGGGAGGCAGCAGUGGGGAAUAUUGGACAAUGGGCGAAAGCCUGAUCCAGCCAUGCCGCGUGAGUGAUGAAGGCCUUAGGGUUGUAAAGCUCUUUUGUCAGGGAAGAUAAUGACGGUACCUGAAGAAUAAGCACCGGCUAACUUCGUGCCAGCCGCCGCGGUAA